ensembl:lncRNA
AUGAAAAACUCAAGGUUUUUUUUCUCUCUCUUUUGCAGACAGAGAAAGCCAAUGUUUCUAAUUCCACGACUGAUGGAACUCGGUUGGAAGGGAACUUUUUUUUUUUUUUUUGGAACUAGCGUUGUUAUACGAGUCUCCAUCUGGUUUCUAUUGGUGAAGCUGAGAAGUCCAGGAUGGAGUGAUUGGCUAUUGGCCAGUGGAUCUCUUUGUGGGAGACAGCGGACUGAGAGAUCUGGACUCAAGGAGUCUGGGAGAGAAGAAAAUGGUGUCGCACCAGGACCGCUUCCACUGUAUUGGAUUGACAACGAUUGAUACUUGGCCAACAAUGGGAACGAUAUAUCAAACUACAUAACACAGUUCAUAUACACAAGCAAAUUAGAGCUGGUGAAAAGUGCAGAGUGGUGCGGAGCCAGUGGUGAGAUACUGUUCUGUGGUUGUGAUCGAACCCGCUGUUUUGUCUUUCCUGGUGUUUUUUGUGGUUUUACACUAAAGGAUGACUGACCAACAUGAGAGCUUAAAGUCAAAAUGAAACUGAUCUAUGGACAGACGUUCCAGACUCUGAAUUUGCAUAAUGAGGGCAAAACUGUCUUGUAGCAACAAUGAGAAGAAUGUUUACGUCAUGUUCCGGAAUUCGUUUUGAAUCACUUUUCCAGUUUUACUCAUUUGUAUUAGUCAUAAUGUAACUUUAUGUAGUUUUUGACAAAACCAUUGUGGGUUCGAAAUUUUUUUACCAUAAAGUAAAUGAUUACACAAGACAAGGAUUUGCAGGAAUUUACUUUACGAGCAGAUGUCUAGCAACAAAUUUUGCUUGUUAAACAGGAAACCUGUAUUCUAAACUAUUGCUUCAUCUAUUUUUCUGAAUAAAACUCGAUGCAGAUUGUAAAUAAACCUCAGGUGUGUCUGUGGGAUGAGCACAACUAUUAUACAAGUACUUCUAUUGGGCUUCUAUACUCUAUGGUCAUUAUUUAAAGUUGUUUGAACUUAAAUGUGUGUUGGCAGUGUGUGUACACAACCACCCUAAACGAUAAAAAUCCACCCAGUGUUUUGUUUUUUUAAUCUACUAAAAUCUUUACCCCUUUCUCAAAUCAAGCUGAUCUUUGUGACUUCACACAUACAGGCCCCUCCCACAAUAGUUUGAUUGACAGUAUAAUUUCAGCAUAGACUGGACUGGCGUCUAACCUUAGACCCGCACCGAGUGACCUGUUAUCAGUCCACCAUUGUUUCACUGCUGGAGCAGAUGUAGACAAGAAUGACUCCUAAGCCAUUCAGAUGUUCUGUUGUAGGAUGUAAUAAUGAACAUAGCAGUCGUCAUUUACUCCUGACAUCUGAGCCACUGAAGUGGGUCACAUUUGUUUCUGAAGGGAAUGCGCCCCCGAUCUACCUAAAUGCGUCUAUCGUCUAUAUAUAUAUAUAUAUAUAUUAUUAUAUAUUAUGGUUUUAGUUUCUAUAUAAUAACCCUGAUUAGAAUUUAAAAUACUGUUUUCUAUUUUAAUAUAUUUUAAGAUGUUAUUUUGGUCUAUUUAAUGCAUCUUUGUGGAAUAA